GACAACUUGAGCUUUCAAAUAAAUUUCUACAUUUAAAAUUCGGAGCUAGUGUACUAGGAAAAAACGUGUCCACAGGCUAGAACAAAGAAAGAAAUAAACAGCAUUGUAAUACCAAUAGCUCCCACGCUACGCUUGGAAUCUAAAAUGCUUUGAUCGUCUAAAUUCUAAUAACGACUUAACAAAUUUACAAAAACGUAUUUUCGAUUAAAGUCAAUAUCGUGUACAAUUAAAUUGAGUGGGGACUUAAUAAAAAAAGCUCUCAAAUAAUGAUUAGCAAAACUCCGUCUCUAAAUU